UUUAUGGUAUAAUAAAUUAAGCUUCUGUGUACAUUGUUAGGGUUGCUAGCGAAAUAACCAAGUUAUCUAACUAGCUAGUUACAUAUGCUCGAGUUUAGGCUAACUUAGUUUAAGUUAAUAGCUCUGCUGGCUGACCAGUUCACUCCGGCUGACCAUGAUGAGCUCAGAUUUGAACGGGAGACGUCGAGAAACUGACUGGUGUUUGACAGAAAACCAGAUACUAGCUAACCUAGGUUAGCUAACUACGGGCUGUGAUGUGUGGGGCUGUUAGCUUGGUGGCCAGCAGGCUAACGGGCUCGCACCCACAGAGCACGCCCGAUGCUUCUCACAGGAGUUUGGAGGUUAAACACAUAAAUCUGAGGGAGGGAUGACUGGGACAGAUAAAGCAUUAGUUUAAUAAGGUCAGCUGAACUUCUGUUUGGCACUAACUUUUGCUGCCAAGUGAUUUUACAUGCUAAUAAUUCUAUAUCACACUCAAGUUCGUGAAAGCUGUUCUUUCUCUCUUCAUGUCACUAUUUUCAGGCUUGACCAUAUAUUUUCUUCUUGCAGUUGCAUGCACGUUUUCUACAUCUACCACCAGCAUUUGUCAGCAAUCCACUGCUGCUUCUGGUUCUCAGCUGAUCAGGAAUUGUCCCAGGAUUCUUUAUCUUCAUCUUCACAAACUGCAAGUGACAAAGAAAUUGACCAGAGACCUCC